GAUCUGGCUCAGGACGACGCUGGCGGCGUGCCUAAUACAUGCAAGUCGAACGGUCUUUCUAUGGAAGCUUGCUCCACUGAAAGAUAGUGGCGAACGGGUGAGUAACACGUGGGUAACCUGCCCAUAAGAGGGGGGAUAACAUCCGGAAACGGGUGCUAAUACCGCAUAGUUUUCUUGAUCGCAUGAUCGGGAAAGGAAAGACGGCCUUUGUGCUGUCGCUUAUGGAUGGACCCGCGGCGUAUUAGUUAGUUGGUGAGGUAACGGCUCACCAAGACGAUGAUACGUAGCCGACCUGAGAGGGUGAUCGGCCACAUUGGGACUGAGACACGGCCCAAACUCCUACGGGAGGCAGCAGUAGGGAAUCUUCCGCAAUGGACGAAAGUCUGACGGAGCAACGCCGCGUGAGUGAAAGAAGGUUUUCGGAUCGUAAAACUCUGUUGUCAGAGAAGAACAAGUUGGAGAGUAACUGCUCCAGCCUUGACGGUAUCUGACCAGAAAGCCACGGCUAACUACGUGCCAGCCGCCGC
rnacentral:rRNA from 1 species